GGAUUAGAUACCCUGGUAGUCCACGCCGUAAACGAUGUCGACUAGCCGUUGGGGUCCUUGAGGCCUUAGUGGCGCAGCUAACGCGAUAAGUCGACCGCCUGGGGAGUACGGCCGCAAGGUUAAAACUCAAAUGAAUUGACGGGGGCCCGCACAAGCGGUGGAGCAUGUGGUUUAAUUCGAAGCAACGCGAAGAACCUUACCAGGUCUUGACAUCCAGAAAACUUAGCAGAGAUGCUUUGGUGCCUUCGGGAAUUCUGAGACAGGUGCUGCAUGGCUGUCGUCAGCUCGUGCCG
rnacentral:rRNA from 1 species